rnacentral:lncRNA from 1 species
CGGAAGGGGGCGGGGCCAGGGGCGGAGCUACUAGGGAGACCCGGGGCCGCGGUGCCGGCGGUUCGGACGCCGAGCGGUCACCGCUACGCGUUGCUUCCGGGACUGGCUCCGCGCUCAUUACCAGCCACACGUCGUUGAAGGUGGCUAUUCCUUUAGCCGUUUGGGGGCUACGUAUUGAACUCGUACUGUGCGCCAGGUAUUGUGUCGGGGGGGAUCCCACUCCGUGUUUUCCCGGACCUCAGGCUGGAGAGGGAAAGAAGGUGCGCUGGAGAGGAGGCACGGUUCUUCACGGCGCAAGGACCUGGCCUGCAGGAGGCCUUCCCCUAGGAAGUGACGGUUAAGCUGAGAGUGACAGGGGCCGGAGGGAGGCCAGUGCGGACGGCGGCGGAGCGCUGCCGCGCUGGCCCAGUGUUUGGGCAGGGCCUUACCUGCUCCCUUGUCGGAGCGUGGGAAGCUAGUGGGAAGCAGGAGCCCAUUUGCGUUUGAAAAGGCCUCUAAUGUGAAGGAAUCCCACUGGAGGAAGGGGUCAAAUGGAUGCAGGGAGGCCAGCAGAAGAUGGUUGCUGAAGUCCGGGGAAGAAGUGACGAUAACAACUCGGACUAGGGUGAUGGCAGCGUAAGUGAAGAGAGUGAGAGGACUCAAGAGCUGUCCGGGAGGUUCUAUCAGCCGGCCCUGGCGUCGCGCCUACGUGUAUGGGCGAUGGAGAAGAAGGAACGGGGAAGGAGGGCUAUUUUUCUGACUUGGGCCUUGGAAUGGGAGUACUAGUCACAAAGAAAGCGAACACUGGAAGAGAAAAUCGUGAGUUCAGUCCUGGCCAUGUUGAGGUGUGUGUGUGUGUGUGUGUGUGUGUGUGUGUGUUUUGAAAUAUUCAGUUAAGUCCUGGAGCUCAGAAUGCUGAAUUGGACUUCCUCCAGGAAAUCUUGCCCAGGCACAGGUACUCUUGGCUGCCCAUGCUAUAGUCAUUCUCUCCCUCUUACAUUUUCUAAUCUGUUCGGGUAUCAGGUGGCUGUAGGCCCCAGGGGAAGUGGGGCUCCUUCCAGCUUCAAUCUUGAUUAACCUUAAAUCAUUUAUUGUAAUUUCAUUCCCUUGCCAGUGAUUGCUGAGGAAUAGUCUGUGUCACAGAUCUGGCAGAACAGAGUAGAGGGGAAGUAUUCUGGUAAACUUUGUCUUGCACCUAAACAGGAAUUAAGAAAGAAUCCCUAGGUGGUGCACACCUGUAAUCCCAGCAGUGCAAGAGGCAGAGGCAGGAGGAUGACAAGUUCGAGGCCAGCCCCAGCAGUUUAGCAAGUCUCUAAGUAAUUUACUGAGACCCUAUUGCAAAACAAUAAAAAAAUAAAAUAAAAAGGACUAGGGAUGUAGCUCAGUGGUAAAGUGGCUCUGGUUCAAUCCCAAGUACCAACAAAACAAAACAAAAUCUUUCCCACAGCUUCCCCACUUUUGCACUUUGGUCCUUACUGAAUAGGGAGGACAAGUGCUUGGAGUUAGUUGCUGCUUCUUGUUGUGACAAUAGGAUGGAUAAGCCCUAGGUCCUUGACAUUGUUAAGCCACUGACUUGGCUCAUUUAGGAACCCCUCUACCUCAGACAUCACUAUAUAAGAUGAUCAAUGCAUGAAUUGUUGAAGCUAUUCUGAGUUGUGUUUUUUUUUUCCUUGUAUCCAAAAACAGCCUUUUAGAGCAUCUUGCUUAGGUGCUUCUUGACCACUUUUGACAUACCUUCAACAGCAAAUGAAAUUUUUAAUCCUAAAUAUUGCAAAACUCUAUGUUUUAUUCACUUAUUCAACUGUCAUUCUUGAGGAGGUCAAGGAUGAUUUCUUGUCUCAUUUGUUGCAAUUUGUAUUCUCAGGGCUUGGCACUCUGGCACCUAUACAGUGGGUUCUCAGUAAUAUAUGAUGAAUGACUGAAGAUUUCAAGAUAUUUAGUCAUUUCUUUCUUUGAAUCAACAGAUUUCUACCCAAAAGAAUUGAAAGCAGUUAUUCAAACAAAAACUUGUACUAGUAUACAAAGACAGUGUUCACAAUAGGCAGUGAAUGGAAACAACUCAAAAGUACAUCAGCCGAUGAAUGGAUAUAUAAAAUAUGGUACAGCAGAUGAUUAUUUGGCCAUCAAAAGGAAUGAAGCAUUGAUGCUACAACAUAACAUGCUACAAGAGAAGCAGACCUUGAAAACAGUAAGUGAAAGAAGCCAGAAGCAAACGGCUGCAUAUGGUUUCAUUUGUAAGAACUGUCCGGAAUGGGCAUAUACCAGGGGCGAGAUACCAUCUAGGAGAUGUUGGAGAAUAACACAGGGUUAAAUACAGGGUUUCUUUUAGGGCAAUGAAAGUGUUCUGAAAAUAGUGGUAAUAGUUAACAAAAUUGUGACUGUACUGUAUGCCACUGAAUUAUAUACUUUAAAAUUGUAAAAAUAAUGGAUUUUAUCUGUUUACCCCAAUUUAAGAAAAAUGAAAACAAAAAGUGUGUACUUUGGAAUUAGAUCAGUCCCAAUUGUACCAUUAAUUAACUCUGUGACCUUGGACAUGCUCAUUUCUGUGCCUCAGUUUUCUCAUCUGUAAAAUGGAGACAUCAUGGUCUCUACCUCUGCAGGUUGUUGUAAAGACUGAGUGGGAUAAUGCAUGUCAUUCAGCACAGUGCCUAGAACAGACCAAGUCCUCAGUCAGUCAUUGUUAUCAUCAUCAUUAUUAGUAUCAUCAUCAUCGUCAUCAUCUUGUAUCAGGUUCAAUAGCAAGUAGAGCCAUCUCUAGAAAUUUCCAAAUAUUCUUAGUGCACCAGCAUCACUGCAUGUAUGCAAGAUCACAGUUUGAAAAACAUUGCUUCAAGCCAGUGUUGUCUCUGACAUCUGUAAGCAGUCUGUCACCAAAUGACAAGCACCAUGAAACCAUUCCACUUGAGAGGAGGGCAUGUGUCUUCCCGCUGGGCCUCUGGACCAGCCCACUCCUGACUUUCAGCUUUCUUUCCAGCAGAGCCAACCACUGUAGUUUUCAAGAUGUGUCCUAUGACCCUCCAUCCUGAUUUCCAAAUCAUGGAUGUCCCAAACACUUUAAAGUGCUUAGAGCCACUAACAUACAGAUGAGUGGUUGCUAGCUGGUAUUAGCUGGCCAAAGGUAUUUUUUUCUUUAUUUUUAAAGAUUUUUUAUGUUAGUUGUAUAUGGAUAUAGUAUGCUUUUUUUGUUUUGUUUUUUGAUACCAGGGAUUGAACUCAGGGUCACUCAACCACUGGGCCACAUCUCCAGCCCUAUUUUGUACUUUUUUUUAGAGUCAGAGUUUCACUGAGUUGCUAAGCGCCUUGCCUUUGUUAAGGCUGCCUUUGAAUUCUUGAUCCUCCUGACUCAGCCUCCAGAGCUGCUGGGAUUAUAGGCAUGCACCACCAUGCCUGGCUUCUUUAUUUAUUUUUAUGUCAUGCUGAGGAUCAAACCCAGUACUUCACAUGUGUUAGACAAGCACCGUAAAACCGAGCUACAACCCCAGGCCUGUCCAUAGAUUUCUGAAGGAGCUUUUUACAGCACAUCUAGGGUAAUGUAUUAAGCACCCUCACAUUUUUCAUCAACCAUUUUCCUACUGAAAGAUUGCAUCCUUCAGUGCAUUUCUGAAAUACAACUCUACCAUACUAGCACGAGUUGUUCACAACACCACUUUCUAAAAAUCCAAGGUAAGAAAAUAGUCUUUAGUGAAGAAAAAUGAAGCACACCAAGAAAAGCAAUGAAAGGUGGAUGCUGCACAAAUAUACUAGCAGCCCUUGUGUGCUUAUGGGAUGUCUUUGUGUGUACAACAGUGGUUAUUUAUUACCACCAGAGGAAAUGCAGUGAAGCUUAACCACAUACCAACUGUAAAUUAAUCUGAGUUACUCAAUAGAGUAAUUACAUUAGAAAUAAUUUAAAAUGCACUAAAGUCUUCCACACUCUCUUAAAAUUCACAGAACAAAUCAAUUUAGAGUUUCAAAGUUUGCUUGUUUUCAAUAGCAUGCAGGGAGCAACACCUAGGUAAAGGCCAAGCAGGAGGGGCUGGGCCAGACUGCACUGAAUGCAAGUUUUUUGUUAAUUGCCAAAGAACUGCACACCACCUAUUCUGUUUUGCCACAAAAUUACUGCUGUUGAUCCUUUUUCCUCUAUAAAAUUAGACUGAUUAGUCUGGGCGUGGUGGUGCAUGCCUGUUAUCACAGUGACUCGGGAGGCUGGGGCAGGAGGAUCAUGGGUUCAAAGCCAGCCUUAGCCAUGGUGAGGUGCUAAGCAACUCAGUGAGACCCUGUCUCUAAAUAAAAUACAAAAUAAGGAUGGGGAUGUGGCUCAGGAGUCGAGUGUCCCUGGGUUCAAUUCCUGGUACCCCUCCCCAACCCUCCAAAUCAGGAUGAUUAUAGUUCAUCUUAUGUGAUUGAAGAGAAGACGAAAACAAAGAAGUGAAUUGAAAAAGUUCAAAAAAUGUUUUAUUGAAUAAUUGUUUCUAAUUAUAUGAUAUAUGCAAGAACAAAAAUAUUUUUCCUAACUCUUAAGGCGUCUGGCUCUGUUGCCCAGACUGACCUCACACUUUCGAAUUUAAAUGAUAUUCUUGCCUCAGUGUCCCAAGUAGAUAAGACUUCAGGUGCCCAGCAGCAUACCUUGCCUGGUCUGUCUUUUAUGCCAAUUGAGUUGAUGAGGACAAGAUCGAUGAAGUUAUAGGUCCCAGUUUAGCUAUUCCAAGGUUGAUCAAUGAAUUCAAGUUCAGUUUGUCACAACAGGUGAAUAAAGCAAGUACAUAGUCCCAAGGGCAGGCACUGGGGACCAUGAACCAUUAGUUCACAAUUGGGAUGCUGCAGGCGAACUCCCAGCAAGCUGGAAUCCAUUUAUCAUGACCAGACACAGAAGGUCAGAAUCAGGAAAGGGCCUCUACCCCCACCUGGCACUGCCUCCCUCCUGUGUGGUUGAGGUUCUCUCAAACUUUCUUAUGACAAAGUGUCACUGUCUAGCAUAGUGCUUUGUACUAGCAAAGUGCUCAAAGCAAUGACAACAUUAGAAGUUUUUAUUCUUUCAAAUUCCUUCUAUUAAAAGGUUGAUCUUCAGUUGUAACUUCAAUUGAGACUAAAUAAAAUAAUUUGGGAUUUAGAACCUGUUAGUCAACUAUUCAUUAUUUUGACAAGUAACAAAAAAAAAAACAACUUAGGGAGGAAAGAUUUAUUUUGGCUCUGGGUUUCCCCAGUUGACCAGCUCCAUUGCUCUGGGCCCAGGUGAGGCAGCACAUCAUGGCAGAGGGCCUGGCUGAGGAAAAGUAUUUAACUCAUGGCAGCAAGAAACAAAGUGAAAGAGAGGAGAAGGGGUCAGGUUAAGAAAUGCCCUUCCCUGCCAGGCAUGGUGGUACAUGCCUGUGAUCUCAGCCACUCAAGAGGCUGAGGCAGGAGGAUCUCAAGUUCAAGGUUAGCCUCAGUAACUUAGCAAGGUCCUAAGCAACUUAGUGAGGCCCUGUAUUAAAAUUAUAGAUAAAAUGGACUGGGGAUGUCACUCAGUGGUACCUACCCCAACCCCAGUUCAACCCCAAGUGCCAAAAAAAAGAAAGAAAGGAAAAUACCCUCUCCAGGCACACCCCCAGUGACCUACUUGCACCAACCAUUUCUCACUGUGGACAGUUUCCACCAAUUCCCAAGAGUCCUUUCAGCUGUCAGUGAAUUAAUCCAUGGACGAGGCCAGAGCCCUCCCGACUCCACCACUUCCCCAAAGCCCCACUUCUGGACAUGGCUGCAUUGGGGACCAGAUCUUCAACCCAUGAGCCUUUGGGAACAUUCCAGGUCAAAACCAUGACAAGCACUUCUUAUUUUCUCAUUUAUCCUGGAUAUCUUUCUGAAUGAAGAACAGAAGACCCAUCUGGAAGAGGGAAAGCAAAGACCGUUGGCUCAAGAAGAAAGUCCAAAGGUGAAAUUGGUGAGAGUAGAUCAGGGAUGAAUCACAGGGAGACCUGACCCAUCUCUCUGCCUCCUCGUUACUCUGCUUUAUUUUCAUAGGUGUUUGCUUCACUUUUACCAGUUUCUCUCCUCUGAUAAGCCCUGUUGUGCCAUGAGGAAGCCUUAGUUUGAACCCCAGCAGGAAAAGAGAGAGGGCUUUCCUUUCAAAGCUUGCUGACUCUGACCUAUCUUGGGUGACAGGUUCACCAUGGAGCCAUCGCGGUAGCAAAGGGCAUCUGAUUCCUUGGUCAGGCAGGCCCAGGUCCCAUCCAGGCAGGAAUCUGAUUGGAAUCAGCCUCCCAUGAUCCACUGGGACUGGUAGCUGAUGUGGGGGCCGGUGGAGUUUCCCUGGGGAAAAUAAGCUUUCUAAUAACAACAGGUAGGAAGAGAUGCUGGGCAGGUGACCAGAACUCCCCACAGGCCGUGAUCUGCACAGACAUGUCGCUGGUGUGCCCCUUGCGGCCUUGGACGGCAUGACCCUGUUAUAAUUCUUCCUCCUCCUUUCUCUUCCUUAAGGUCAGAAAUCACUAGCUCAUUUCUGAAUCCCUUGCUUCCCAUCUUCCUAGCUUCAUCUGCAGUUCUAGGACAGACACCUUUCAUUCAGUAACUAUCUGUUGCUUGGAUGAACGAGUUUCUUGUUUGUAUACGUGUACUCACAGUAAAUAAUUUUGCAUGUGUUAAAAAUGAAGUCAAGGGCUGGGGCUGAGGCUCAGCUGUAGCAUGCUUGCCUGGCAUGUGUGAGGCACUGGGUUUGAUUCUCAGCACCACAUAUAAAU